CUUUUUCUAUGGCUUGGUUAUGUCACACAGAUCAUAGGCUGGAGGGAAGAUUUUCCCAUUUUCUUUCCCCUACCACUUUUUACACUGGCAACAUGGGUCAAUAUUGCUUUUCUUUGUAAGCCAAUUUACACUUUGAAAUGAAGUGAGCAUUCAGUAGGAAAAGAAGGUGAAAGUAUUCUGCUUUGUAGCAUCUGCCAGGACUAAUUUUUAAAUUUAUUUUGGCUGCUAUAACAAAGCUAUAGACUGGGUGGCUUAUAAACAACAUAAUUUUAUUUCUCACAGUUCUGGAGGCUUGGAAGUCCAAGAUCAAGAGGUGAACAGAUUUGGUGUCUGGUGGGGGCCUGCUUCCUGAUUCAUAGAUGGCACCAUCCAGCUGUGCCCUCACAUGGUGGAAGGAAUGAGGCUGCUCUCUGGAAUCUCUUUUAUAAGGCUCAUAAGUGAAAGGGACUAGCCUUGUUUCAGAUGAGACAUUGCACUUGGACUCUUGAGUUAAUGCUGAAAUGAAUUGAGACUUUGGGAGACUGUUGGGAAGGCAAGAUUGUGUUUUGAAAUGUGAGGA
rnacentral:lncRNA from 1 species